rnacentral:rRNA from 1 species
UACGGAGGAUGCAAGCGUUAUCCGGAAUGAUUGGGCGUAAAGCGUCCGCAGGUGGCUGUGUAAGUCUGCUGUUAAAGAGUCAUGCUCAACAUGAUAAGAGCAGUGGAAACUACACGGCUAGAGUGCGUUCGGGGCAGAGGGAAUUCCUGGUGUAGCGGCGAAAUGCGUAGAGAUCAUGAAGAACACCGGUGGCGAAAGCGCUCUGCUAGGCCGCAACUGACACUGAGGGACGAAAGCUAGGGGAGCGAAUGGG